rnacentral:rRNA from 1 species
UGAGUAACCUGCCCUUGACUCUGGGAUAACCCUGGGAAACUGGAUCUAAUACUGGAUAUGACCUCUUGCCGCGUGGUGGGAGGUGGAAAGAUUUAUUGGUCUUGGAUGGACUCUCGGCCUAUCACCUUGUUGGUGAGGUAAUGGCUCACCUGUGCCACCACUGGUAGCCGGCCUGAAAGGGUGACCGGCCACACUGUGACUGAUACACGGCCCACACUCCUACCGGAGGCAUCACUGGGGAAUAUUGCACAAUGGGCGCAAGCCUGAUGCAUCGACACCGCGUGAGGGAUGACCGCCUUCUGGUUGUAAACCUCUUUCAUUACGGAAGAAGCGAAAGUGACGGUACCUGCACAACAGUCGCCGGGUAACUACGUGCCAACAGCCUCGCUAAUACGUACGGCGCGAGCGUUAUCCGGAAUUAUUGGCCGUACAGAGCUCCUAAG